GGCAUCAGAAUGCCCAUUCAUGAGCUGGGGUCUCUGAGGCUCAGAACCCAGAAAUGCAGGUAGCCAGUGGCUGUCAGGACCUGAGUCUACCGUCACCGACUUGUGACUCCCGAUGGUGUGACAAGAGCAGGGUCCCUCUGCCUCAGGAGGGCCCCCUCCUGCUCGAGGCGGUGAUGCCUCUCAAAUUCCCCAGCAUGCUGACUUCCUUCUCCUCUCUCUCUAGGUUCUCUACUGGACCGGGUUGGUGGCCUGAAUGUAUUAGCUUCGCUGCUUCUGCCCAAGAGGUCCACCUCGAAGCUGUACUAGGCCAGCGCUAGAGACAGACGGUGUUUAGAAUGUCUUUCUCCUGGUCCCCCCACCCCAGCGGCCUGAGAGGAGAAAACAGCCUCUUGCUCACCUCAGCCUCCUCUUCCCUCUGAAGAAACUGCUUCCACCUGCCCCCCACCCCAUCUAGGUUUCCCCUGACAGGGCGGGAAGGGAGGGGUGUCUCCCUAGACAGGAAGCGGAGAAGAGUGGGGGCUCCAUCUAACGGGACAGCGCUGAGAACCCUGGGCUGUGCCUCCCUUCCGGAUCCAGCCCUGCCUCUGUCUCCUUUCCCGGCCUCAGUUUCCCCCCCAGCCCCAAGCUGGCUCUGGGAUCCACAGGGGUUGGUGCUGCGGGGAGGCAGGGCCACCCGGAGAGUGAGACCAAGGCCGGAGGGGCGCCUGCCGCCCCGCCCUCCGCCAGGAGGGCCUGGGUCCCAGGUGCGGCCCCCUAGCCUCCAGCUCCCCGGGGCUCUGGCUCUUUGUCUGUCCAGACCCUCCUCCCCUCCCAGCCCAGCCUCCCGGAGAGGUUGAGGAAUCACCUUAGCCUUGACCCGAGGGGGAGGGCAGUGGAGGGGCAGGCAGGCCCCACCCCGCCUCCUGCCCACGGCCAUCCCCACAGCCUCCUUCCUGCUUCCCCGAGUUCCAGGCUGCCGCCCCCCCAAGCGACAGGCCGCUGCUCCCUUUGUUAGGGAGGGGGAGGGGAGAGAGCUGAGCUGAGGGGACGUGGCUUGACCCUCGACCUCUCCCCUUCCCUCCUCCCAUCAGGGUCCCCAGGGGCUCAGAGCCCCCUUGACGGACAGUUCUGACCAUCAGCCAAAUGGCUCUGGGAGUGAGCAGGGAGCCAGGUAGGGGGGAGGGGAGGAAGGCCUGGCUUGGGCCCUGAGCCCCCCAGAGGGGGGUGUCAUGUCAUGGGUUGGGGGGAGGCCCUUAGGACGAGGGGCAGGGGACGACGGGCACCCAUAUCUUGAGGGGAGCCUGAUUUGACUAAGGGCUGUGGAAGCAAAGCGAGGCUCAGCCCAGAGACAGCAGCUCUGGACACCCUAUGGGUAGGGGCCUAGCUGGGCAGAUGCCCCCACCCCACCCCCACCUGGCCUGGGGCUUUGGGAGUGCAGCAAGGUUUUUUUUAAAAAAAAAAUUAAAAGAAAAAAAAAUAACAGGAGCAAGAGAAGCUGGGGGAAAAAAUAUAUAAGAAAAAAUAUAAUAAGAACUAAGCGGUGGCUGCAGGAGAGAGAAAGGGCAGGAGGCGGGGAGGGGGGCGCAGGGGGGAGGGCGGCUCGGGCCCUGGUCGCUGCGGAGGCCCGGCCGCCGGCCUCCGCGCCGAGCCCUCCGCGUCCCCCCUGCCGGCCCCCUCCAGCCCCGAUCGAUCCAGUUUCUUGGCAAUAAAGCAUUUUUAUUGUCAGCUGCCCUGAAUGCCAAAUGUGAGCCUGGUCCUGCUCCCCCCUCAACCCGCUUCCUCGCCACCCCUCCCCCAGCCCUCCUCCACCCCCUCUCCUGCCGGCCC
ensembl:lncRNA